AUGGUGACUUGUCAGAUGAGUCUCACACUGUGGUACACAUUCGGUGGAGGAACCAAACUGGUGAUCAGAACUGGACCCACAGUGAAGCCCUCAGUGUCUCUGCUGUCACCUGCUGCUCUUCAGAUCUCUGGAGACUCAGCAGCAUUGCUCUGUUUGCUCAACUCUUACUCUCCACAGGGGGCGCUGGUGAGCUGGACACUGGAUGGGUCAGAGGUCACUGACGGGAUUCAGACCAGUGCCGAGAGCGAGCAGGACGGCCGAUACAGCCGUAAAAGUGUCCUGACUCUCAGUAAAGCACUCUGGGAAGAGGCGGAGGUGUUCGUCUGCAGAGUGACACAUGAUGAAACUCUUCACGAGGUCUCCAUGCGUAAGAGUCGCUGUUAGAAGAUCUGAGUGUUGAUGUUUGUCCAGCUGAAGAUCUCUCAUAUAUCUGAUGAUCUGUGUCAGACUCAUGUCAGUCUACUCAUACACAUCUGAUCAUUUACACUUUUAUAACUCUCACAACAUCUCUUGUGUUUGCUGUUACAUUCAAUAAAG